rfam:Treponema sp. OMZ 838, complete genome.
GUUUAUCUGCCGAGUUUGUCUUUCGACAAACGUCGCAUUAUUAUAUGUGCUUUUUAACUUCGUUGCAAAAGCACGGAAAAAACUUUUUUUGCAAAUUGAUAUUUACUGCAAAAAGUUUUUAUCGGA